rnacentral:snoRNA from 1 species
GGCCUUUGUGUUGCCCAUUUAUUCCUGUCCAGAAUGGAUGUGGUGUCAAAAAAGACAAACAGUAAUUCUUGCUCAAACUGGUUUAGGGAGCUGGUUAUGUACCUUCUUCCUCCCUGUUUUUGGACAAAAACCCCC